GGGCAUCCCUCGCCCCUGGACAUCCCUGCCCCUGGACAUCCCUCACCCCUGGACAUCCCUGCUCCCAACAUCUGCACUCCUGGUCCUCUGGCCUUCGGACGUGGACCCCAAGUGUACCACGGCUCCCCGGGUCCCCGGAGUGCAGCCAGUGCCUCGUGGGACUUCUCGGCCUCUGCAAGCCCAUGAUUACCUCUGGGUCUUUGGUGUUCUUUAAUCCCACGUGACACUUCGCAAUGUGCUUGGUGACUCACUACCGGCCAUUAAGUGGCAUUAACUGUCUGCCUUCAGAGCACAGCCCAGGGCUUGGCCCUGCGGGGGAGGGGACAGGCCUCCUGCCCUGCUCUCACACGCCCACCUACAUCAUAAACACAGGGGGAUGCAGAUAAGCAGCUGGCACAGGUAUCUUCGGGGCAACGUCUAGGCUGCCAUAUGACAGAGCUGGGUACCACGGCCUGGCCACCGCGACAGAAACGCAGCGCCUCGCACAGAACGCAGCACAUCACGGCUGCCGUACUCCUGACGUCGUGCCCUUUGACCUCUACUUCUCAUCAGUUGGGGAGCAUUUACUGUAAACAGCACUUUAUUGGAUUUUUAGUUUUACCCCAAC